CUUGGAAGAUGCUGCACAUUAAUCACUUUGUAUCGCACCAAUCAGCUGUUCAGUUGGAUUGUCCUGCUCAACUCUUCAGGAAUUUUUGAAGGGAUUUUUUUGGUUUCUGAAACUCAUUUAAAGAUUUGCUGCAAACCACACCACAGUGGGGAUCUCAUGAACUUCAAGCCCUGUGAUUAUAAAUGCUUCCAGGAGUUAAUGUCGCUAACCAGUGUUUUUAGGCUUGAUCAUCUAAAUUCUCACUUAUGCCACUGAGAGGCAAGCGCCUUUUGCUUAAUUUUGCUAAAAAUAUGACGCUAUUGUUCUCAAGCCAAAGCAUGUGGUGGGAGGAAGAGGAGGAGCUACUUUCCAAGCUAAUUACAGAGGCACAGCUCCUCUGUUUUAUGAGCAGCAGUAGAGGGGAGAAGAGAAAAAAUGAUUUUUCUCUGAUGACUGAGGACAUAUUUAUGACAUGCGAUUCUCAGAGAGAAAGAGAUUACUGGAAUAUCACACUACUAUUUGGAGUUUCUUGAGUGUAAUUACUUUUUAUUUUUCCUGAUUCUGUACAGAUUUGAUACUGUGAAAACAUAACUUAUGUUUCAAAUCCUUUAUUAAUACAGUCAUGUUGUGUCAGGCAGCUGAGGUAUUCAUGCCACCAAAAUCAUACCUAAAUUAGUAUCUUGAUAAAUAAAUAUCACCUGCAGGAAAUCAUGAGUGUUUUUUAACUCUGCAUAUCAUUGUUUGUUGUGGUACUAAUUGUGAAAGAAUGUCAACAAUUGAAAGACACCUGCAUCCCCUGGCCUACUGUUUGAUUUGCUAAUGUAACAUCAUAAAACAGUAGUACAUCAUGAAAAUUACUAUGUUCCUCUGGUAAAUAAUCAAGUACAUUUUUAAGACGUGGGAAAGGUUGCAAUGUGAUUGACUACUAUGAACAUUUUUGAUUACAUGUUAGCAUUAACUCUGAGAGUAAAAUUCAGUCCCUCUUCUUCAAGCUCUUUUUCUCUAUAUUACUUUCUCUUCUUUUUCGUAAGAACUUUGGCAAUAAAAUGAAUGUUUUCAGCACCUGAAAAAUAAUUCAAUUAUAGGAAUUUCCCGAGCUGCGCCUGUUUGGUUACCUCUGGGGAACAGCUGCCAGUGGGGGUUGUGAUAGGAGUCAGCAGAGCUCUCCAUGAGCAAUGAGUGAGCAGAAAGUUCAGCUCCUUGGAAAGACAGUUUCCUGCAGUGUCUCUUCAGUAUUUACCUUCUUCUGAUUUCCAGCUUGAAUGAAUGCAGCCACGAUACAGACACAGUCCUCCAGCGAAGCAGGCAGAACACAGUAAGGGCAAACAGUCCCGAGAAAGGAAGGGAGGGAAGAAUGUGGGGCAAAGUUGCUGUAUAAUGCUGCCUGGAACAUCAGAUUCCCAUCUGGAAGUUCAAGAUGGUGGAAGAUGUUUAUGCCAGAGGUAAAAGGAUAAAGAUGGCAGAUUACAUAUGAAUCCUCAGCAGUGUGAGUGCUGUAUUUGAGUCAUUCUUGGACCUGGCUAUCCCAUCUUACAAAAACAUCUGAUUUGGGAUAUAACAAAGCUCUAUAGCCAGAUGAGUCACACUCAUUGCCAUCCACAACAGCACUCUCCAAGGCCUGUGAAACAAUAAGUGCUUUUAUAUGAUUUCCAUCAUGGAAUUUGCCACUGGACGUACAAGCGCUACACCCGCAUGUUUACAAAAUAACCUAAUUCGCAGUAGGUAUUUUACUUGGGUUUUUAGCUUUUGGGUAUGGUUUGGAAUUAUAAGUCACUCUAAAGAUGAAUAUAUGGUACAGCUUCAAUGCUUGGUCCUGCUCUACACUUAUUUUUAAAAAUAAUUACCUCAAAGUACUGCUAAUAUAGAAGCUUAUUAAAAUUUAACCAAUGCUUUGAAAGAACCAAAAUCUUAUUGUUAAAGUCAGUUAGUUCAAAUAUAGUUAAUACAAAAUAUCUGCUGACUGCAAGUCCUCCUUACCCUAGUAGACAGAACCAUUAAGGUCACAGUGACAGGAUUAUUCUUUCCAU
ensembl:lncRNA